rnacentral:rRNA from 1 species
UACGUAGGCAGCAAGCGUUGUUCGGAGUUACUGGGCGUAAAGGGUGUGUAGGCGGUUCUUUAAGUUCGCUGUGAAAUCUCCCGGCUUAACCGGGAGGGUGCGGUGAAUACUGAGGGACUAGAGUACGGGAGAGGAAAGUGGAAUUCCUGGUGUAGCGGUGAAAUGCUUAGAUAUGACACAGAACACCGAUUGCGAAGGCAGCUCACUAAGCCAUAACUGACGCUGAUGCACGAAAGCGUGGGGAGCAAACAGG